rnacentral:lncRNA from 1 species
GAAGAGCACGGUCCCUUUAAAUGAUACGGAAGCCGGGAAGGAAAGCGCGGGGUAGAAAGGGCAGAGUCCGUGACUAGGCCUCUAGCCCCAGGGACCUAGGCGAGGACAGGCACUCCUGCUUUUCCAAGAGCACCCUGGCCCGCCACGCCCCCAGCCUGGGCCUAUAAACACCCACGACCCUAGCAAGGCAGAGACAGAAGCUGCUGGAGGGCGAGAGGAACGCAUCAGUGGAAGAAGACAGAAGCGGCUGGUCACGGAGAGCAUGUCAGCAGAAGAACACACCUACAGACGCCGGCUCGCCCGCGGGCUCCCCGGCAGGCCAUCGACCGGUGGGACGAGGUGGAGUUUGUCCUGGGCAGUAGGAGGACAGCCCGGGCACCCAGCGGCCCAACUCCAGGGGAAAGCCAUCUCCCUUCUGGAGCUGCCCAACUCCGGGGGAAAACCAUCUCCUUUCUGACUCUCCUGUCGGUGGAGAGUUACUUCCACUCAAUACGAUUUUGCAGUCAUUCUCCAAGCCCACGUGUGAUCCGAUUCUUCCGGUACACCAAGGCAAGAACCCGGGAUACAGAAAGCCCUCUGGCCUUAUGACAAGGUAGAGGGUCUAACUGAGCUAUAGACCGUGAACUAAGAGCGCACCCUGGAACACACGCCCUCUGGGGCUUCAGCUGUAAACAUCCACCCUUAGACACUGCCAUGGGGUUGGAGCCCCACAACCUGCCCAUCUCUAUGCCCCACUAGAGGUAUGACCAACGGGGCACUGAAGAGGCGAGCACACCCCAUCGCACGCCCUGCAAGGGGGACGGGGGAACCUUUCCCAUUUCAACACCACCGCUGUGGCUGCAUGUGGCUGCCAUAAGAAAAAGAACCCAUUCUUUGGCACAGCUGAAGCAGGACUCUUCUCGUUGUUCUCCAGAGUCUGGCUGGCCUGGAACGUGCCAUGACUGUACAAUAUGAUAGGAGGGAGACUGUACCAGCUCCAAGCCAGCUUUUCUGAUACCUGCAGCUUCUGAUUCCUCUGGAGGAGAAGUCAGCUACUAGUUCCAGUUCCACAUCACAGUCACGCAAAUGUAAGAGAAUGGAGAAUGCAGUCCUUUCUCAGCUGGGCACAAAGUAAUGCUGAGUGAAACAGAAGUUGUUAUUGUGGAAGAGGACCCCGUAUCUGACCAGUUUCCAACUCAUCUUCACUUGGGAGUUGGCUGUGAAGAGACAGGCAAGUCUCUUCAUCAAGCAGGAGGAAAACAUACAGCGGGAAGGAAAUAUGAAACGACCUCAUUUCUAGUUUAACCCUUUGGAUCUCCUUUGUACCACGUCUCCUUGGAUGAGAAGAGUCUCCCUCUCAUCAGCACAUUAAGGAAUCUACCAUACAACUUCAGUCUUCAGUAUUGCCAAAGACUAGUAACCUAUGCUCCAAGAGUUAAUGACUAUAAGUGCAUCACUGAAGCCUGUAGAAAAAGGCCCUGAUGCCUCCUGCCCUAAUAAUUUAUAGGACGGGCGCCCUCUCUGAUCAGCAUGUUAAGGAAUCUACCCUAACAAAAGGUUUGAAAAAGUUGGUUGGAUUGGCUACAUGCAUAACUCGGGAUCAGUUCUCUUCAUGCAUCUGCUAAUACUCAUGGUUCCUGAAAAAGACUUGAUAUGCUUGCUCUUUGGAAGAGGGGAUUAGCUUUGACCCUUCUUCCACAGCUGUUCCAGUUCUGUUCUUCCACAGCUGUUCCAGUUCUGCUCCCAACUUUUUGACAAACUUACAUAAACUACCCAAGGUAAAGACGAAAACCCAGCCCAGUUCCUGGCUUGUUUGGCAGCAACCCUGAGGCUCUUUACAGCCCUAGACCCUGAAGGGCCAGAAGGCCGUCUUAUUCUCAGUAUGUAUUUUAUCACCCAGUCAGCUCUUGACAUUAGAAAAAAGCUUCAAAAACUGGAAUCUGGCCCUCAAACCCCACAACAGGAAUUAAUCAACUUCGCCUUCAAGGUGUACAAUAAUAGAGAGGAGGCAGCCAAGUGACAACACAUUUCUGAGUUACAGUUACUUGCCUCUGUUCUGAGACAAAACCCAGCCAGACCUCCAGCACCCAAGAACUUCAAAACGCCUAAGCCGCAGUGGUCAGGCAUUUCUACGGGACCUCCUCCAUCAGGAUCUUGCUUCAAGUGCCAGAAAUCUGGCCACUGGGCCAAGGAAUGCCCACUGCCCAUGAUUCCCCCGCAAGCCCUGUCCCAUCUGUGCAGGGACCCACUGGAAAUCCGACUGCCCAGCUCGCCCGGCAGCCACUCCUAGAGCCCCUAAAGCUCUGGCCCGAGGCUCUCUGACCGACUCCUUCCCAGAUCUGCUCGGCUUAGUGGCUGAAGACUAACACUGCCCGAUCACCUUGGAAGCCCCCUGGACCAUCACAGACGCCGAGCCUCGGGAAACUCUCACAGUGGAGGGUGUCCAUGCAGUCCCUGGUCAUGCUUGAAGCAGUCCCGAGAAACAUCACCCCUACCCUAAUAAUCCCCAGUAAAACUUAUAUUUCUUUAUCUUUUCUUAUAACUUUAUAUUUUAUAAGUAAAAAGACAGGAAUGUCAGGCCUCUGAGCUGAAGCUCAGCCAUUGUAACCCCUGUGACCUGCACAUAUAUGUCCAGAUGGCCUGCAGGAGCCAAGAAGUCUGAGGCAACCCAAAACUACAAAAAAAGUGAAACAGCCAGCUCCUGUCUUAACUGAUUGACCAGCCUUAUGACAUUCCAUUAUAACUUGUUCCUGCCCUGCCCCAACUGAUUGAUCGACCUCAUGACAUUCUUCUUCUGGACAAUGAGUCUUAUGAUCUCCCCACCAUGCACCUUGUGACCCCCUCCUCUGCUGACAACAGAUAACCACCUCUAACUGUAACUUUCCACUGCUUACCCCAGUCCUAUAAAGCGGCCCCUCUCCUAUCUCCCUUUGCUGACUCUCUUUUCAGACUCAGCCCACUUGCACCCAAGUGAAAUAAACAGCCUUGUUGCUCACACAAAGCCUGUUGGUGGACUCUCUUAACACGGACUCGCGUGACACAAUUAAUUUAAAACUUAACAGUGGCGAUUAACCAGUUUGCACAGAGAGAAAGAGACCAGAGACUGAUGUAAGAAAUUCUUACCCUUCUGCCUGCAUGCCGGGUUUCUGGGUUCUCUCUCCCUGAGCACCCCUGGUGACCCUGCCUGACUGUAUACAAACAAACACAUUGCCAUGAAUCAAGAAUAUUCACAAACACUUUACAAAUUUUGAAGAAACUAGGCAGAGAGAGAGAUAAAUAUGACUCAAAUUCUAUUUGUGAGAGUACACUCAACACACUUCAAGUAUCAGGAAACCUAAAAUCCAAAGUUUGUUUAAAGAUAAAAACCUGGUGUAUUCCAUUAAUUCCUGUAGCCCAACAAAGGUAGCUUUAGGAAUUCCAGAUAAAUGGAAUGAAUGACCACUUGCUAGAAAUGCAUAGGAAACAAAAUAACUAUUCACAGAACCAAAUAAAAGCCUUCCACUAGCAUGGGUUUAUAUUAUAUAGAGAGACACACAAGCAAACCAAAGGAGAAUAACAGCAAACCAAUGAAAACUAGAAGAGAAAACAAAUAAACCAAAAAACAAACCUAAAUUUUCAUACUCAACUUACCCUGGAAACUACAGUGUUACCUAGGGCCCCCCAAAACCCAUAUAAUGAACAUUUUAUUCCUGAUAUACAAUUCAAUAUCCUUAAGUUCACCAAUAUCAUUAGACAUUCUGUGCAAUCAAGAAAUCCACUUCAGGCAGAUGACCAAUAAGUGCUCCAGCACUAUUCACGGAAAAUGGUGAACAGAGUGAAGUGAUGCAAGCAUGUGUGUGAACAUUGGUUUUACGCUAAAUUCAGCUUCAUGCUUAACUAUAGUAAAAAAAGAAUUGCGAAACUGCCGAUGCAUUUUUACAAUACUUCUUACCUUAAUCAACACUAAGAGUUUUAACUAUGAAAAUGUUAAUUAGCCAAAUGUUUCCAAUUCUUUAUCAUGUUUUGAGGAAUAUUUUAUUAUUUAAACUUUUUCCACUCCUUUCUCCCCUACUUAAUGAUUCCUUACUACACUGAUUCAUAAAUAACCUUUUCAAAUCUGUAAUUUGAACUAACUUUUAUACAACUUCAGAAUUAGACAAAAUUAUUCUUUUUUCCACCAAUAAGCCUUUCUGGCACAUUUUGUAUACAGAAUUAUGUGCUAACUAGAAUUUUAUAUUUAGUAACCUAAAACUUUAGUGAAACCCUAAAAAGCAAACCCUGAACUAUUAGAUAUGGGCAUUUAUAGACAGGAAUAAUUCCACAAUUUUAGCAACAUGCUUCUCCAUAUUACUACCCAUUUUUAAUUGGAAAUGACCCAGAUAUCAAAUGAGCAUUAAAAAUAACUUUAAGAUUUUAAUUUACACAAAAAGUUUACUUAAAAUAAUUAUCCUCUUCACUGUACUCAAUUUUUUAUUUUUAACAAGGGAGAUGUCAAUCAACAUAUGUCAAAUGAACGUUGGUUUGGCCCAGAAAGGUGGGACAACUCAAGGAGAGGAGGGGGCUUGGGGCUUUCAGAUCAUGGGUGGGAGACAAAUGGUUGCAUUCCUUUGACUUUCUGAUUAGCCUUUCCAAAGAAAGCAAUCAUAUAUGCAUUUAUCUCAGUGACACUUUGAAUAGAAUGGGAGGCAGGCUCGCCCCUAGCAGCUCCCAGCUUGGACUAACACUAACAUUUUUAAAUAUCUAGCAAAGACAAACAUAAAAUUCAGACAAAAUGUAUGCUGACAAUUCUGAUGGCAUUUCUCUUUUUAUUCCACCAAUAAUUGUAAAGCCAGUUUGUUUAAUAAAGUUAUACUUAAGUCAUGUGAACUUGAAAAUUGCUCAGACUUAUUUACUUAAUUUAUGAGCAUUCUUUUACUUAUAACCAAUUUGGAAGACACAAUAUAUAACAAUAAGUGUAUAUACAAAUAAUCACAUCUAGACAUGUAUACACACACAUAAACGAAGAUCCAAUAGCUUGGAACCUUGGCCGUGAGAUAGCAAUACAAGCUUGCCAGUUUUACUUUGCCCCAAUAGAUAAUCCAAGGAAGGCUGAGAACCAAAAUUUUGGGUAAAUCAGUCUCCAUGGCAGUUUGAUUUUUAAAGGCUAAACCUCCCCAGACUCCAAGGAGCACUGGGGCCAAACAGUACCAAAGGAGGGCGUCACACGUUAACCAGGCUCCCUGCUUAGAACAGCAGCACAAAAGCCUGAAUACAUGCAAUGCCAUCCCACUUUCCAAUUCGACAGCAAACUUCAGAUUCUAAGCAAUUUUGGGGCCAAGCAGCAUUGCAACUGUGAGAGAAAAUUCCAAAG